rnacentral:misc_RNA from 1 species
GAUGAAGAACGCAGCGAAAUGCGAUAAGUAGUGUGAAUUGCAGAAUUCAGUGAAUCAUCGAAUCUUUGAACGCACAUUGCGCCCAUUGGUAUUCCAUGGGGCAUGCCUGUUCGAGCGUCAUUUGUACCUUCAAGCUCUGCUUGGUGUUGGGUGUUUGUCUCGCCUCUGCGUGUAGACUCGCCUCAAAACAAUUGGCAGCCGGCGUAUUGAUUUCGGAGCGCAGUACAUCUCGCGCUUUGCACUCAUAACGACGACGUCCAAAAGUACAUUUUUACACUCUUGACCUCGGAUCAGGUAGGGAUACCCGCUGAACUUAAGCAUAUCAAUAAGCGGAGGA